AGCAAUCUAGGGCUUUGCGGUAGAUCAUGGCUAGAUAAGGUCUGGCCCCUCCCCCAGCUUGCUUCCCAACUUGAUGGGGCCUGGCUGAGUUCUGGUCUGCGUUGUUUUUUGGCUUCUGAGACAGGGGCUCACUACAUAGCUUAGGCUGGCCUUGAGCUCAUGGGGAUCCUCCUGCCUCAGCCUCUCGAGUGCUGGGAUUACAGGUACGAAGACCAAGACUCAGACAGGUGAAGAAAUUGCCCCUGCUGGCCCAGCGGUUGAUGCCAAGCCAGAGCACAGAAGAGCAGCUUCCACAUCUCGAGAAAGGCUUGUCAUUACAUCAACAGAGCAGUGUGGGGAAAGACGUCAGAGGGGUCUGCAGCCACUUUCCCAGGCGAGACUGCCCAGCCUUAUUGCAGAGACAGAGGGCUGCAGGUGGUUGAACAGCGGGCUGGAAUAACACGAUAAUGCAUUACUUGAACACACAACAUCAAGUCUCAUUCCAUUUGGGCUUCACUGGGAGGAACUGUUAAAUUCCAAGGAAGUGUUUCAUCUGGACAGAAGACAGUGGUUCCUGCGAAGUCUCCCUCCAUGGAGGGAAAGGGUUCGGAAGAACCCCGGUGGGCAGGUGGGCAGGCGGGCGGCACAGUUCCUGGUCACACGGUCCUCCGUCCUAUGCAGAUGUGAGCUCUGCUCUGACUCCUCCACAGCCUCGCUCCUCUGCUUCCCUGAAGAGCUGGCUACUAACCACACUGAAAACCUCUCACAAAGCCCACCGGAGAUGCAGGAGGGUCAGGUGGAGAGUGUGCUGCAUGUCCAGGAAGCAAGCAGCCCCCUGCAAACUGUGCCCAGACCAACACCUGCUCCCACCUGCCCCAGCCUCGCAGGCCCUGGGCUCCCUCAGCCAGCACCCUGAUCUGGGGUAACAGGGUGUUGUUUGCCUCCUUUGGAGCCUUCCUAAGGGGUUCGCAUAGGGCACACUCUCUGUGUCUGGCUCCUGGGUUCGUUGUGAGCCCCAUGAGGGUGGCCCUGACUGUGGGGGACCCAGCCUGCCUCGCUCACCCUGUCUACAGUUGGUGGGCACACCAGUGGCCCCAGCCGUGCGUCUGUGUGGCCACGAACGUUCUAGCACUGGGACGUGCUGCUCCAUGGCGAGGUGCACUCGGAAGCACGUGUUGCUAGGCGACGUCGUUGUCCUGUGAGCGGCGAGGAGCACUUACACAAACUAAGACCAUGAUGACGUUGCUAGGUGACCCAGGCUUGUGGGGCCACAGCGACAUCCGCGCCCCGUCGUUGACAAGCUGUUGCUAUGGCGUGGAUUUGGUGAACCUCUGCGCACAUUUAUGCUGGGCAGAUCUUGGGUUAGUAGACCCUGGCCAACACUCCCAUCCCUGCCAAACUGGCUCGGCGGUCAGGAGCCCUGUGCUGUCUGUCCUGGCGGAUGGUCGGAAGCUUUCAUCUCUUCACGCUGCCCAGUUGUGGGCCGCGACGCGCUGUGUGAGUUCCAUGAUGGCCGACGGCGUGAGCCCCGUUAGCUGUGUUUACUGAGCACUCACGUGAACGUCUUCAAGGCUUCCUGCUUGCUUUGUGGUGUUCCUGCCCUGUCCUGCUAACUCAGGAGCUCCGCGUAGACACCACCGGCACACGUCCUUUGAACUGGGCUGCACGCGUGUGCUGCGGACACCCUCGCCUUUCUGUUGUGGUCAUCACACAUGGAGUUUUACUCGUAUCCGAAACUCGGGGAUAUUGCAGCUGCCGCUCUGUACGUCGCUGUCCAGGGCAGCUCACCGACCAUGCUAUUCUCCCCGUGUUUUCCUCCUCUCUCAUGUUUGCGUGUACAUCUGGGGUAAUUUCCUUUUGCCUGACUACUUUCCCUUUAGCCUGCCUCUCAGUCUGCAGCUGUCAGAGACGAAUUCUCUGGCCUCUUGCUUGUCUGUGCAGUCUGUGUUUCACUUGCACCUUGACGGACACUUCUGCUAGGGUAGCACAGGGUUCAGGUGGCCACACCCUUCUUUUCCCUGUCCUCUGCCUCACCCCACCCCUUCUGCUGGCUGCGGGCCACGCCCUGCUGUCCCCUGCACGCCUGCUGGCUGGAGAGGGCCCUGCACAGCAGAGUCAACAGGGCCUGGACUCAAGGGCAGCAGUCUUGACAAUGCCCAUUGUUUGUCGAAACUUUAGAUUAGCCUUACUCUGCAGAAUUUCUCUUUGUGAAGUCACUCUUUGUUUUUUUCUUUUACCAGUCCUGUAACUUCUAAGAAACCCCCUCCUUAAGUGGUUAUGAAGUUAAUUCUGAGUCAACUAGUCCUGGGAAAGGGAACAAAGGGACGAGAUUUUGUCCCUGGGACUCCUAACCAGUCAUCUUCAAUUUUUCAGAUCCCACAACACCUGAAGAACUUCAAAUAACAUUAAUGUUUGGGCUAAGCACUUGCCAAUCCUGCUCUCCAGUGAAAAAAUUCAACUUACGUAGAGAUGAAACGUUUACCUGAAUGACUACAGGCCAGACCAGGAGCCAGGAGGUCAUUGCGGCGGGGAAGGGCCUUGGUGGCGGUGCAGCUGCGUCCAGCCAGCGUCCCUGUGCUGUGAGACCGCUGGGUCAGAGAGGAUGCCAGGAGGACGGGACGCAUGCUCAGAAGGAAGCCAGACUGCGCAAAGGCUCUCAGACCUGGAAGCCCUGAGGGCAGUGGCAGAGAAAAAUGUGCAAGCGAGCAGGUUACAGAUCGGUGGGGUACUGUGAACCUUUCUUCCACACACAGACCUGAAGCCUAGAUGACAUACUUUCCCAAAAAUGAGAUGUAAAAUACCACAGUUGGCUGCAGCGGCUGUGCGUGGCUGGGGGCUGUCAGGUGGGAACCGAAUCUCUGGUGUUCAGAGGUGAGGACAGGAGGUGAAGUCGCCGCUGAGCCUGUGACUCACCCUCGUGGCUUCACGGAGGAGGAAGAGUCCAGGGACACAGCCGGCUCCUCCACGCUGCCCGGUGCUGCCUCAGCCUCCCUCAGCCAGGUGCAGAGAGCUGGAGACCCAGCGGUGUAAAUGUCGUUUCUUUACAAGUUCCCAGCCCCUCGUGAUUCAGAAAAUGCACUGAGGCUUUGGCGCUGGAAGACACAGAGACUCGAGUAGGUUGGAAGUACUAAGACGACGCCUCUCCAAAGACCAAACCAAACCGCGCAGGCUGCAUUCUUGCCCCACAGAUAGUUUUACUGUUUCUACCAAACUGAAGGAAUGCUUAGUUCCUUUCUUGUACAGACUGUCUCAGAAAACAGGAGGCAAAACAAGCACAUAAACGUGGCCGGCUCAUUUUACGAGGCUAGGACAGGCCUGGCGUUUGAAAUUGGAGCCGCGCAGUGCGAAGCAAGAGAUUUGCCCAAUGCCGUCCCAGGCGAAGGCUGGCGCACAGCUUCCCCGUGAUGGCCUAGAGGCUGGGGCCUGCUGCUGCCCUUUGUCUUGCAGGACGCCUGUGGCCCUGCUCAGGCCUGGUGGCUGGACGGCUCCCAGGGGCUCGGCCUUCCGCCUCCCUGCUCCAAGGUCCUUGAGGGACUCCUCCCUGCUCUGGGUCUGCAGGGAGGGGCUCUGGAAGUUUCUGAGCAAAUCUGAGAGCAGGGUAGAUGUACACGGAAGAUGCGAAUCGGCACAGACCCUCAAGCGCUCCACACCCCGGUUCCCUCCUGCCCCUCCCGGGCCCUCCAGGGUCCCCCCCCACCUCUGUCCUCUGCUAAGGGACCCUGGAGUGGCGUCAUCAUCAGCUAGUGCCCUUUCUUCACUCCCUUUCUGACUUUACACUUCCUGUCCCAGGACACUGCCCGCCCCAUGCCCCGUGUGGCCCCCCCAUGAUUCUCCAGACCCAGAUGAUUUCUCAGAUUUGGCUUGACGUGGGGAGGCCGGGCUGGGUGUUUUGUAGGAAGUCCCUGCCGUGGGACUGGCGGCACUGGGGUGAGGGCCACAGAGGCAGAGCGCGUUCCCACCCACGACUUCCCGGUGCAGGCUGUGACCCCGAUGGUCACCAUGGACAUUGACCUCGGUCCCUGCUGGCUGGCAUCUGUCAGGUGUCCCACUGCGAGGUCCCCACGCCCUUUCCAGGCUGCGCUGCGGCAGCGGCCAGCACCCCACUUCCUGAGGGGGCUCCCACGUAGAUGACUCGGGCUCCUCCUGCUCUGGAGAUGGGCCUGCUCCACUUGCUCACUUACUUAUCCUCACUGGUGCGGUGCACUCCGAUCCUACACUUGGAGCCCCCGUCCCACACUCCAGCUGGGUCACUGCCAGCUCCUCCUCUCCCUGCCCCCUGCGCCCUCUGACGCCCCACCCUGUGGGCCCUGAGCGUCCUCACUUCCUGGCUCCCAGGGGCUCCAGGAUGAUGUGUGCACUUCCUGCCCCAGCCCCACACACAUCUCCAGGUCCCUCGAGCUGGAGAGUCCUGUGCGACCCCAAGCCUGGGUGCUGGGCGCUGGGUGCUGGGCGCUGGGUGCUGGGCGCUGGGCGCUGCUGGGCUGUUGCUUCCUGGCUCUGUGCUGGUGGAGCGGGGAGGCGUGUGUGUGUGUGUGUGCGUGUGCGUGUGUGUUUGUGUGUGCACGCUGUGGUCGGGAUGGGAUCUUCCCUCCCUGUAAGUUGUUUGCUUGGGGAUUUCAUUACACCAUCGGACAGUGACUGACACGUGGGCCCCUGGGGCAUGACCCUGGGCAGGGAUAAGUGUGGCUCUCCAGGACCCCAGGCCUCUGUCAGGAGAGCAAGGUGCUGUGGAGCACCCCACGGUGUGCCCUGCCCUGCACGUGGCUGUUCACCUCCCUGUUUCUCCACCGUGUUGUGAUGCAGCCACAGGCUCGUCUCACACGCUGCCCAGCGGCUGCCCAGCGGCUGCCCAGGGCUGAGUGAGCGCAGAGGUCCAGCCUCCGGAACUGUGAGUCCGUGAACUUCUUUCCUUUAUGAAGUGCUCAGCCUUGGGCAUUCUGUGACUGCAACAGGAGCUGGCCUGGGGCAGCAGCGUGCACACUCAGCCUGCGGGGACUCAGCUACGCGGUUGCACACGUGGCCAUCUGCGCCUGCUUCAGACCAGCAUGAGCUGGCGGUGGCGUCUCUGCUUCUAGUCCAGCCCAGUCCUUGGUCACUUGGAGCCCAAACCGCCUGCCUCUGUUUACCUGGUUGCGGAAUCCUGUACCCAUGGGGAGCAGCCUCAGGGCCGUCAGCUUGCACCCUGGGGAGACACAGUGCACCCGUGUGCUCUUUUUGCUUUUCGUUCUAGUCUUUAGCUUUCAGUUCCUGCUCCUCCCAAAGUGACCGAGGGUAGCUGCACCGCUGUGUGCAGGGAGCCUCUCACUUCCUGGCCUCUUCCUGUGGCUCAGGAUGGACCCGCGUGGGGGUGCACGCUCUGCCGAGCCAUUGAGUGACAUGCUCUUUGUCCUCGGUUUAUCCCCUGGGACGCACAUUGAUCGAUUCUGAAUCUGCACCUUCCCUGAGUUCCUGGGUGAACCCCCAGGGGUCCCAGCAGGAAGGAAGGGAUUCGCACUCCAGGCAAGGCCUGGUCUCCGGGUCCCAAGGAGGCGGAAGCAGAAGAGCACCUGGGCCUGGGCAAAGGCGCAGUGGCAAGGAAGUGGGGCGCGGGGGGCUUGGUGUGCAGGGCAGGAGGGCCUGUGCCUUCCCGCAGUGAGCGAGCUCACCCGCCGUUGUCUGCAGGCCACUUGGCAGCUGGGGCACGCACCCGCAUGGAGUGGAAAGCACCAGCCUGCAAGCCCGAGGGAGGCACAACUCGGUGCAGUCCUUGUCAUGCACGUGUGCGUGUGUGUAGGUGUGUGUGAGUGUGCACAGGGAAAUCAGUGAGUGCAACCAGACAGGCCAGGGGUUUGGGAAGGAGCAAAGACAGGCUCCCUGCCCGCAGGCUCUGGGGUCCGCAGAGCGGCCAGGGCAGCACUGGCUGGGUGGGGGUGACGCUUGCACAGCUCCGCUGCUCCCUCUGCGGGUAGAGGUGGGAGAGGAGGAGGGCCGGGCAGGCCCCUGUCACGCCCGGUGACCUCAGUCCUGAGGCUCCUGUGCAGCCCUGGGGGGCAGCGUUUGCAGACAGCUGCACAUCCCUGCUCACCCCAAGGCCCGCUGUGGGGACAGAGCCCUCCCCUUUGCGGAGAGGGAGUCAGGUCUGAGAGGCAGCGGUUUUCCAAGUGUGAGCUGUGGGACUUGAACCCAGAUCCCCAUGCACCUGAGCCCUUGGCCUCGCUCCUGCCCCUGAGUGAUUCUGGGUCAGUGGGGCCUCUGUUUACCGGGGGCUGCCUCAAUGGGCCCUUUGUGGAGAGGACCAGGACACUUCUGGGAGAAGCAGGGUGCCCCAGGAGUGACUCCAGGACCCAGGGUAGCUGGACCCCACCCCACACACAGGGUGACGCCAUCUGCUGUCCUGGGGUGGCUCGUGCCCCCGUGCCCCGGGGGCUGGGCUGAGCUGCUGCAGAGUCUGCGCCCCUCAGCAGCAGUGCCCAGGAACCUGUGCUCUGCUCAGGACUGCAGGGUGGGCCCGGUCUCCUCUGUCCGCAGGGGUCCCAGGGGCCUAUGCAGGCGGAGACACUGCCUGCCUCCUGACAGGCAGAGAGCUGCAGGGCGGCCCCACACCUUCCUGGGAGCAGGGAGGACCUUGAGGGUCUCCGUACCUCAGCACUGUGCAUGUCUACAUGCAUGAGAAUGCGUGUGCAUGCAUGUGCACCAGGAGCACGCUUCCCGAGCUCCUGCCGGCAUAAGGGCGGCUCCCCGAAGGCUGCAGGGCCCCUGUGGGCUGGACCCUCCCAUGGCUGCUGUGGCCUCCACUCACUCCUGGCCUCUGCAGGACGCGCUCCAGUCACAGCAUCUCUGCCCCCAGUUCUGAGGCCGGGUCCCUUCCCUCCGCACGAGGCCGAGGCCCUAGUGGAUGAGGCCCCACACUGACGCCCUCUCCCCCACGCACUGCUGAACACCCUGCCUCCGCAUGCGGCCACGUCGGGACCAGACUUCGGGGCAGCAGGUGCUGAGCUUUCCCUGCCUACCACCAAAGGCCGUGGGACACCGUAUGACCAGGAAGAACACAGCACACAGAUGUGAUCACAGUUUCAUGUGACAAGGGGCCUUUGGAUGACAGACCCACAGUGCCAGAUGAACCAGCCACGUCCAGCCUGGGUUCCGCGAGCUGUGCAGAACGGUGACUGCACGCAGGGUGUGCUCUGGGGCCCAGCAAGGCCGUCCGCUUCGACUCCUCCCUCCCGCAGCGGGGCAGGACCCGUCUGGAACGGGGUCUUAGGAGCGGCAAGCAGCCAGAGCGGGUCAGGAUUUCUCUGUGGCCGCCCCUCACAGGAAGAGAGGGGAGCUGGCCUUGUAUUUUGGGUUUCACGGCUGGUUUGAGGAAAAGCAGAUUCCGGGAUCUGCCUUGGGAAGAGGAGCUCUGGUCUCCCAGAGAAAGGGGGGCGAGGGAGGGAGGACAGGGAGGGGGCUGGAGAGAUGGCCUCGGGGUCUCACUCUGGGGCUCCAGCCAAGCCCCCCAAACACUGCCCUGGGGAACACAUGGGUUGCAGCUGCGCCCAGGGCGAUGGUGUGCUUUCUGCUGGAGAGGAGGGUAGAACUGCUGUGCGCUACUUCUGCUGUGGCGUGGCCUCGGUUGCGUAUACAUUUAGAGCCCAGAGAUUGCGGGGUCCCCGCUCCUCGGGGGGAGCCCUCCUGUCCUGUCCCCGCCCGCAGCUGGCCCGGCUGGCCUUCCUCACCUCCAGCCCAGACCCGGAGGUCUCUGCUGCCUUUGCUCCCCAGGAUCUGUGUGGGUCUGGGUCUAGACACACACACACACACACACACACACACACACACCCCUCCUCAGUCACUGCCCCUCCCUCUAUCCCUCCCUUCCCUUUUUUCUCAGGUUUUUAGUACUGGGGAUUGAACCCAAGGUCUUCACGUGAGCUACAUCCCUAGGUUUUUUAUGUUUUGAGACCGGGUCUCUAUAAGUCACUAAGGUUCCCGGGCUGGCAAUCUUUCUGCCUCAGCCUCCAGAGUGCUGGGAUUCCAGUUUUCCCAGGGUGCCUGCUGUCCCCUUUGUCAAGGGCUCUGAGCCCUGCCUAGGGCGCCCCUCGUGGGAGUGGUGGGCUGAGCCCCCGCUGGGGACCGCCUGGCUGUGCUCUGGGCCUCUGCACGGGGGGGGCGCUGGCUGUCACCACCAGGGGGCAGCGUGUGCUGCCCGGCGCCCUGGGCGUCCUGCGGAUUCCUUCCCUGGAGCCCAGGACUUUGGGACUCUGCUCAGUGCUGGGAGGUCCCGGCCGCUCCCCGUGCACGGGCGCGGAUCUGUCCUCCCCACGGUCAGAGCACAGGUCAGGCCGGAGCCGAGCCCUCUCAUCCCAGCAGCCACGCCAGGGGCUUUCGUCGCCCCAGGCCCCAACCCUGCGGCGAUGGACGGGGCCGCUCCCCAGCCCAGCCGCGGCCCUGCUUCUGUCUGUGGACAUCUGUGGCGCUGCUGGCUUUCGUCCAGCUCGUGUCCUUGGGUCCCUGCUGGCUGAGUCACAGCCCUGUGCUGAUGGACUGCACGUCCCUCAUCCACCCUCCCACAUGCGGGCGCUUGAACGGUGCUGCCGGAACCGGCAGCCAUUCUGGUGCCUGUAAGGUGACAGCGGAAGUUUUAAUUUCCGUGAGGAUGUGAAGUUUUUGAUGUCUGGAGUUCUAUCUUUCAUCUGUCUGAAAAGCUUGGUCGUCCCAUGUUCCACGGCACCGUGCAAAGGAUGAAGAUCGCUCGGAGACCACAGCCGACUGAAACUCCAGGAAGGCCAGAGGGGCUGACCUCCACCGAGACCCCUCAGCACGAGAGUCCCAUGAGGACAGCCCCUGACAGAGCUUCUGCAGCUUUUUAUUGUGCAGGAAUUCAUGCAAGCAUGGGAGGACGGGAUGGUCAGGGUGGUCUGGUACAUGCCUGACCUGAGGGCCAGUCUACGUGACAACUUGGAGGAUGGGGAGGAGAGGACCAGGGCAGCACUGCUCGAGCCCACUGUGCACGUCAGGGCCACUCUCUGUCGUACGCGUGUGGGUGUGAGCAAGUGUGCACUGCCACGUGUCCACCACCGUGGCGUCACACGGAGUCAUCUCAUGCCUGAGCUCCUCUGUGCUGUGUUCAUUCACCCCUGCUCCCGCCCCGCUCUUGCAGCCUCCACGUCAGCGGGUCCCCAGUGCCCCAGGGCUGCCAUCACGCAGAGUGGCUUCCUUUGGACAGCCUCUUCUGCCUGCCACGCCCUUGGAGCUCACUCUGUCCACCUUCUCACGGCCUCGACUGUCGCCAACAUGGUCGAAGGCUCCCCGCUCGCCUCCUCCUCCUUCAGAGGUGCAGCCAUCUCGGCACGGCCUGUGUCCUUGGCUCAGUCUGAGCAUGGUGAGUGUCUAAGGCAUGAUGACCUCAUGGCCGCCUGGCUGGGGACAGGAUGUGGAGGAUGUAGCCCCAACCACCCAGGAGACAUGAAGCCCCCGAGGGCAUGAGAAGAUGGCGGGAAAGCAGGGAGCAAGGAGCUGGUGCCUCUCACAGACCCCAGGCCCUGUGCACGCUCACCCACCAGCCUGAGGGGCAGCGGCCAUGCAGCCUCCUUGAGACCUAAGCGCCGGCUCCAGGCUCAGGAUGGUGCCAGGGUUUGCUGCAGAGAGCAUGCGGUGGGGGAGGCAGAGCCGGGGCACAGAGCUCUGCACCUGGUCCCGGCUGUGCCACAAGACGCCACUUCAUACGGAAGCUGUGCUCAGGGCUGGUGUGGGACAGAGGACAGGGAGUCACGUCCUUUCUAACCCUGCUGCCACCUCUGGGCACCCACACGGGGCCCACUGCUGCACGGCAGGUCCCCCGCGUUGGUGGCUUCUGUGAGGUGGCGUCGGGGUGGCUGGCUGGAGCUGGGCAGCCCCUCGUGUGGUUGUGUUCUGGACGGGGUGUCAGGACAUGGUCCCAGUGCCUGACUCACGCCGGCUUCUCUGGUGUGGCCUCUGCUGAGGCUGCCCGCUGUCCUCGUGUGGCACGGGCCCCUGCGUGUCCCCCAACCACAUUAGCAGCCCACACUGGGACACCUCACUGCUCUGGGGCUGUCCCAUCAGCAGGGACCACAGCUGCAUCGGGAGCUGGGGGCAGCAGAAACAACCGAAUGCUUCAGAUCAGCUGAAGACUGCAGGACACAAGCGUGGAUCUGGCUGACAGGGCUGCAGCCGGCCGCAGCUGUCGCCGCUGUGACUGCCCCCAGAGACCCCGGCAGUUUUUCCUGCAGUUGCUCAGGAAGAUGUAAAUAGAUACAGCCAUUAGCGUCACGUGUGCUGCACCUUGGCUCCUGGCUCUGGGAUGUGCCCGCACCUGCAGUGUCACCUGAGAGGCCAGGUGCGAUCCGGCCAGCUGAGGUCACCUUGUCCCAGCCCUUGAGCGCGCCUUCUGUCUGGCCCAAACCGCCGGGACCUGACCACGCCACUGCCACGGGGCUAUGCUUGUGUCCCUGAGGCCCCCACAUCGACACCCUGUGUGGUCCUGGCUCUGUCGCCUGCCGCUUCCUCCUGCCUCAGCUCACCUGGGGGCCAGACUUGCUCCAGAGCAGCCGAGAGGGCACCCACAGAACUCCAGAGCCAGGACUAGGCAGCUCAGAAGGAGGUGGGGCCGUGGUAGGGGCACGAGUGACUGGACGGUCCCUAGACAUUGAAGCAAAGGGGCGCAGCGUGAAUAAACGACAGAGAGUGUUUCAAGGAUAUCCUCAAGCACUAAGUUGCCCAGGCUGGACUUGAACUUGUGACCCUCUUGUCUCACUCUCCCAAGAAGUUGGAAUUACAAGUGUGUCGUGCCACACCGCGUCAAGGCUACACAUCGUCCUUUGGGAGCCACUUUGGCUAUCGCCCGUGAUUUUCUCACCCAGCGCCCUUGUUACGAAGUUAAUGGAAGCCUGAGGCUGGGCCCCGGGUUUCCUGCAGUCUCAGCCGUCUGCAAGGCCUGACAUUUCCCGAAGGCCGCCUGCACGCUGGGCUCUGCGUGCUGCGCGUGUUAAGGGUGAGAGGACGGCGGAGGUGCUCAGGCGACAGAUUGGGAAGCAAACUCAACCAGCCCCAGGGCAGAAGUCAAGUCAGUCUCCCUGCCACACCCUUGACCACUGUGCCAGGCUGACUGGAGGUUAGAACUUGGUAAACACUGCCUGUUGUUAAUUCCGUGAUUUAUGGCACCGAUCAGAGACUGCUGCCGGCACAAUCUGCCUUCCAGGAAGUCCCUUGGGUGCUCCGGACUCCUUACAUAUGCUCAUUUGCUGUUUGCUGUUUGCUUACUUGGUGUUUGGAAGGAAGGUGCUUUUCCCCCUUUGCUGCACACGGAGUCCGGAGCGCCUGUUCGUUCUCCCCGUUAACUGUUCUAUUAAUAUCCUCCCCGUCUGCUCCGCUUUGAUCCGGCAGCCGCAGCGAGGUGUGAGGUGUGCCGAGGUCUCCCGCUGUGCUGUGGAUCAGGGACGCUCUCCCCGCCUUCCUAGCUGCUCUCCACCGUAUGUCUUGGAGCCAAAGGUUAAUAACUGUGAUGUGGUCUCGGCGGAUGUGUCAGUGUGGCCCUGCUGGGGACCUCCCCCGUCAAGGUUCUGCCAAGCCUAGCAUCUCAUUCCUAAUUUAAUUUCCUCCGAGAUUGUGUGGGAGGUUGCUCCUGAAGGAUUUUAGAAAACAAAAGCAACCAUCCUGGCUUCUCUUGCCAGCAGAGAGAAUCUGAAGAACAGGAAGCAACAAGCCCAGGGACAUCUGCGUGUGUCACGCUCCAGCCGGGGUGGCCUCUUGUUCCAAGGCCCAUGGUCCUGCAGCGGUGGCUGGGGCUGCUUGGGAAGGCUCGGGUCUCAUUGGUCCUCACAGGGCCAUCUUGGGCUCAGUCCCCACAUCCCAUGGGGCAGAGGCUUUGGAUUUGGUGGUUCCAAAGCCAGGUCCUGGGAGGGCGUGCGUGGGGCUGUUUGCCACCUGAGGAAGCAGAGUGAGUCCUCUGGGAGUUUUCAGAACAAGGCCGGUCCCCUGAAGUCACCAUUAGCCUAAGUGUGUGAGUGCGUGGGUCCCAUGGACCCCAGAGCAAGAUGCACCCUGGUUGGGCGGCUGGCUUGGCAGUAGUUCCUUCAUUCAUUCUCUCAUUCAUUCAUUCAUCAAGUGCUGCAAUCUCUCAGCUGAGGCUGGGAGGGUCCUUGCGUCCUGGGGCCUGGGAGCCCAGGGGAGGCACUGGGAGGUUGCUGCCUGGUCCCUUUGGGACCCCUGGGAGGCCGCAGGUUACAGGCUGUGGGGACACCAGGCAGGGGCCUGAGGAGGGGUGGCAGGCGUGGUGGCCGGGCCGGGGCUCAGUGGUGGAGCACAGCAGGUAGGGCACGAUGGGCGCAGCUGGGCCCGGCUCCCGCUGCAGGCCACCACACGGGGCCACCCAGGGUGCCUCCCAGCCAGCACCUGCUGCUCAGACCCCCUUCCAAGUCUCACUGGGCUGGGGAAGUUUGAUGGGCCCGGCCUGGUCCUGUGCCAUCCCUGAGCCACCCCGGGGCCCAGCAGCCAUCCCUGCACUGGCCAGGCCAGGUCAGUGCUGACCUGGCCGGAAGCUGUCAGUUGACGUGUGCUGCACUUGGGCCUCCCCUGACCCCAUGGGCUCCCCAACCGGAUGACGGGGCUCCCUGACCCGCAGGACAGGGAGGACGUGGGAGGGUGAGUGCUGCGGAGGUGUGGCUGGGCACACGGACUUUGCCCUGCAGGAGCCAAGUGACAAGCCAGGCACUGUGGGGUUGGCGCGGGGUCAGCUCAGGGUGUGGACUGUGCAGCCCCAGGUGCUAGGGUGCCUACUACAAUGGAGGGGGGUGUGGUGGCAGGUGAGGGGCGUGGAGGCCCCUGGGCGGGGGACAGGGGCCUCUCCAGGUGUCUCUGGGAAGCCACGGGGCCAGGGACCUGCUCUGUCUCCCUGACUUGCCUGCCUCUUCCUGGUGAUAGUUGGGGGUGAGGUCCGGGAAGGGGCACCCCAGGCUUCCUCAUUUCUGGGUGUCGGCCCUGCCUGAGGGUCUCCACCUCCAGGAAGCCCCCUAGUCUGGGGUUCUAUCUCCACCUUCUGCAAGUGCCCUGCCAGGGGGCCUGGCCCAGGGACACUGCAGCUGGGAAAGCAGCAGGGUGGGUGCUGAACCUGGGUACAGGUGGCAUGUCAGGACCUGGGUCCCUGGGUGGGAGGAUCAUGGACGGCACAGGUGCGAGGACUCUGUGGCUGGCUCUCUUCCCCACCCUUCUCUUGGGCACCAGUAGGCAGAUGGGACGGUGAAGGUAAGGCAGUCCCAGGUCCCAUCUGGGAGAGGUGGGUCCCUGUGGUCCUGCUGUAGUCACCAUGCAGGACUCACCUUGGUGGGUGUCACAGGGGCCUGACACCUCCAGUCAGCCUCACAGCUGCAUCUGGGUCAGGGGAGUAGAGUGUGAACAGCACCCAAGCCCUGCGAGGCAUUCCCAGCUGAGAGAGGCAGGAGCAAGGCCAGGAGACCUCCGGGUCCUCCCCUGUCAGCCAGCUGAGGUCAUACCUGUACUGACCACACGGGGGCGCCCAAGCUCCAUCCGUGGCUGGGAGGGCACAGGGAGGGGAAACAAAGUCAGGCCUGGAGGGCAUCCUGGGGAGGGUGUGUGUGGACAGAGUGGGCGGCCAGUGGGGGUGGUCAACGCCCUCGAGGGAGUGAAUUAUGCAUGAUGCAAAUGAGGAAUUAAGGGGGUGAGGGGAGGGGGGCCACCUGAGUUAAUAUUUAUUAAACCCACAGCCCCGUCAUUCAAGAGCCUCAUGAAUAUUAAUUCCCAAUUAAACAUUUAUAUGAAGGAGAUUGCUUCUCCCCUCAGAGAACCUGUCUGCAGCCCCCGGAGGCCUCGCAGGGCCUGUUCCCGGGGGCUCCAUUUUGUAGCUGGUGGCCCCAGCCUGCCCUGCCUGCUGCCCCCUGCACCCGAGACCCACAGAGUGGCCCUGGUGACCCAUCAGGACAGCGGCAAAGCCCCCGGCCCAGGCCCUUGCCUCCUGCUGCGAAUCCGCGUGCCCAGCACUUCCCCUGAACGCGGCCGUCAUGCACACCUCAGCACAACUUAGUGGGCAGAGGGUGUGGGCGAGGGCCCUGGGGAAGGGUCGGGGGGCCUCUGUGGCCGGGCUCCUGCUGGGGGCCAGUCUACGAGGCCAGACCCCCAGCUCUGCCCCCUCUGUCUCUGCUCUGUGGCUGGGAGCAGCAUUCUUCGGGUGGCGCUGGGUGUGGAUGUGGGUUACGGUUAGUGGGGUCAGAGUCCGAGCUCUGUCAGGCCCUCCCACGAAUAUGCCUGUCCCUGGGCCCCCUCACUCUGCUCUGUCUGUACCCCAUGGCAGCCAGCAUUUCAGACGGCUUCAGUGGGGUCUAACGUGCUCUCCCUGCACAGAGCUAGCCACUGUCCCUCCCCUGUGUCUCUGCGACUUCGGGUCACCGUUAGCUUAGGUCGGAGGCAGAGUGGUCCUUUAGGGGCAUCACAUGGCCGGCUGUGUCGUUUGCCUUCGGUGGCGUGAGCCAACUUCUGCUUUGUGUCUGGCCCGCCACCUGUUCCUGGCUUCUGUUCGUCUGUAGCCACUCAGCGUGGAGCAGUGUGGUUUCCUAAGGGGCCCAGAGGGCUGUGACUCGUACCGUUAACCCGGAGGCCGACUUCGGAGGCACUGUGUGCUGCGCAGGGUCUCACGGGUCUCACACAGCCCCGAAGCUUCCCCAUGAGCACCCGGCCCCACGAGUGUCUGGCCACCCCGGCGUCCAAGUGCCAGUACCUGGAUGGCUUUGGCUGCUGCCUGGACGGGUCUUGUUUCCCGGCGGAUCACAGAGUGCAGAGGAGCAGGACUGACUUUGGCAGCUUCCUCUCGUAACGGCCCUUGUGGUUCACCGUUGCAGUCACGGCGUUUUGCCCAUCCAGUCGUCCUUUCCACAGGGGUGGCCGCCGCACCUCUUCCUUCCCCACCCAGCCCUCCUGCUUCUUUUUUUGGCUUGUGGCUCUCAGGAUUUGUCGGCGGAGGGUGUAAAGGGACGUCCUUGUCAGCUCCAGAUCUGCUGGAGGUUGGGGCUGAGAGCGCACUCCUGCGACCCGCGUCUCCUCGCCCAAGGGCUCGGGAGGUGGUUUUGCAGACAGCAGCGCAACCUCUUCCACUGCAUGUUCUGCAAGUUUAGACAUCAUAACUAGGUGUCAGAUCUCUUCAGUCCUCUGCUGCGUCCGCCGAGACCAUCCCUGUGGGCUCUGGUUCCCUGGCUGCUUUGGUUCUGGGCUCGGGAGCCGUGCCUCUCCCAGACGGACCCUGCUGACCACGCACCGUUCUUUCUAACCAUUUUGUUAAAUUUCAUUGAUUGUAAAGCACCUGCUAGUUUAUGCACCUCUAAGAAAGAGAAAAUGCUGCCUGUAAAGCGGUGACACAGUGCUUGAUCAUACAGAGUCCUACUUUAUAUUCAUCGAACAGCUCCAUUGGACUUACUUAAUCAUAGGAUUUUAUCAUAGCUCACUCUUAUGCAUACAUAAAAAGGAAAAUAAAAGCAAAAUAAACGAG